GAUGAACGCUAGCGGCAGGCCUAAUACAUGCAAGUCGAGGGGUAGAGGAGAGCUUGCUUUCCUUGAGACCGGCGCACGGGUGCGUAACGCGUAUGCAACCUACCUUUGUCAGGGGGAUAGCCUCUCGAAAGAGAGAUUAACACCGCAUAACAUUAAGAUGUGGCAUCACAGUUUAAUCAAAUAUUUAUAGGACAAAGAUGGGCAUGCGUGUCAUUAGUUAGUUGGUGAGGUAACGGCUCACCAAGACCACGAUGACUAGGGGAUCUGAGAGGAUGGCCCCCCACACUGGUACUGAGACACGGACCAGACUCCUACGGGAGGCAGCAGUAGGGAAUCUUCCGCAAUGGGCGCAAGCCUGACGGAGCAACGCCGCGUGAGUGAUGAAGGUUUUCGGAUCGUAAAGCUCUGUUGCCAGGGAAGAACGUCCGGUAGAGUAACUGCUACCCGGAGUGACGGUACCUGAGAAGAAAGCCCCGGCUAACUACGUGCCAGCAGCCGCAGUAACAC
rnacentral:rRNA from 1 species